CCCCGCGCGUCUCCCUCCUCCUCCCGUCCCUCGCUCGCUUGGCUCACUGUCGGCGCGCUAAGGUGACGACGGCGGCUGCCGGACUCGCAGCGUUCGGCCUACUCUCGCUCUGGCCCUGAGUGCAUGUUCGCAGUGCCCAGCCGGGCCGCAGGGGGGCGCUGGCAAACUGCUGUUUGCGACCGAGAAGCGUGGUGGGUGGAGUCACGUCACGCGGCCUGUGAGCGGGAGGAAGGGCAGCUGCGAUGGAGGGGCCUUCUGGGAAACGUCCUUCCUGCCCCGCCUUUCGCCCACGCUGCGGAUGGUGCGCCUGCGCAGUGCGUGGACUUUGGCCUCAGCGCUCUUUUGGCAGUUUUACAGGCUGCGUCGUGGAGGACAAUGAAAGAGGCUUUAAGUGCAGGACCUCCAGCUUCCUGCCCAGUGGUACCUGCUUGGCCGUUAUGACCACCAGGCAACUCAGGAAAGGCCUAGGCCAUCCGAUUACCAGAAGCUGCCCCUUCAACAUCUUCAACAGCCACUUGGAAAAGGCCAGGAACUAUUUUACCAAAGGGAUUUAAGUCUGCACUGCAGAUGGCAUGACCUUGCUCCAUAACCGUAGAGAUCUGUGUUGUGAUCUUCAAAUGGGACUUGAUAUAAACUUUUUUAUUUUUACAAAGGCAAG
rnacentral:lncRNA from 1 species